rnacentral:lncRNA from 1 species
CUUCCCGAAACCCUCCAGCCUACAUUUCUUCCUCUUCUUCGGUUUCUAAACUCAAACUGACUUUGGAAUGAAAGGGAGCAGCUGCUGAGGUAGGAAGGUCGGAGGUGGCCAAAGCCCUCCAAAAGCCUCUUUUCUGGAAGCUCCUCUGCCAAGGGCUCGACUGGAAUCCCAGGACAUAUUCAGAGGCUGCCAGACCCCUGCAUGGAGGCCCCUCCCUUGCAGCUCCUGGUUACCAUGAUUGAAUGAUAUCCUGCAGCUCCGAGCCUCAGCCACCUAUGUUGUCAACGUUUCCUCUGUGAAAGCAUCCAAAAACUCUGCCAGCACCUUCUUUCCUUUUUUGUUUUCCUACCAGGGCCAGGCCAGGCUCUGCUGGCCAUUUCCGAUUAAGCUCCUCAGAAGGCAUAGAGCCACUCACACUCAGAAUUAUUUAAAAUAACACUAGACUGCAAAUGCCCUAAAUAUCCAUCAGAAAUAACAUGGACAUUCACUUUUGCAGAUGAGGAAACAAGAAUUCAAAGUUGAUUUGCACAUAUGAAGCAAAACAAGUAAGAUUCAAGCCUCCAGACUCUACAACAGAUGCUUCCAAUAUCUAUGUCUAAUGAAGUAAAC